CGGCGCUGUCUCGUGGAAGGACGCCGAGAGCUUCUCCGAGGGUCUGGGGGAACACCUGGAUACGCACUUGGAUGCGUGGAGCAUUGCUCAAAGGAGGUGCCGAGGAACAAAGCUCCGUGCCGGGAAGCAGCAGCCGAACAGAAAUAGGUGAUCAAAGCUUAGAAGAACCUGUAGCAAAUCCUGUUUGCUUGACACUUGGAGCAGUUGGCAUCCAGCCUGGUGUCCUGAGGAUGUGCUCCCAAGGGAAAAAGGCUUUCAACAAAUGGAUUGAAAUCGCUUACCUGUCAUGGGCAUUUCCAACAUGCUGGAAGUGUUUCAGUACUCUGGAGAGCAUGUGUACCUUUCCUGAAAUACACCCUUUUGUUGGCUCUUCAGAUAUUGCUGGAAUCAUGGACAUGGGCAGCUUUACCUAGGUUCCUGAAAACUACUUAUGAACCUUUUUCCCUUGGAAAAUGUUACAUUAACAGACCUCAAUAUGCAAUGUUUGGAAACAACUGAAAUGCUUAUAAGAGAUGAUAAGAAAUAGAAAAUAUAUUCUGCCCUUCUACUGCAGUCAAUAACACCUGUCUGAAGUUGAGGCUUAUUUCUUUUAUACUCUGCAAUGAGCAAGGUCUUGUACAAUCAGGUUUUAUUUUUGUUAUUUCUUGUAAUUUAUUCAUAAAAUCCAACAUGUAAAUUUUAGUACCUGCAGUUAAGUCCAGUCUGUUGGGCCUUAGUGCAUCCAAGGGGUGUUUCAGGCCAUGUGUGAGCAGUAUUUUCACAACUGGGUGUUUUGUUUGGAUGGAGUGACCUUGACAUGAUUCUUUGAGCCCUAGAUUUUUAUUGUGUUCAUAGUGGAAACCUUUAUCCUGCUCCCUGUAGUGAGUGCUGGUGUGCUGUCUGCUCUGGGCCUGAGACCGGAGCCCUUCUCUCAGAGUAAGAUGCAGGGUACUGGGGGUGGUUUGUCCCUUUUCAAAGAGUCACUGGUGAUUCUGGUGCAAAAAGUAUGGAGAAUGUUGCAGAAAAAAUCAGUACAAAAAUAGGGUGUGGAGUCUUGGAGUGAUGGGAAAGGACUGGCUUUUCUAUGCUUAUAUAUGUUUGUGCAGAUGGUGAUGUUCAUAGCUGUGUGUUUUAGAGCUGUUGUACCUGAGCCUGAAAAUGGAGCUGUGGCAUAAACCGGACUAAAUUUCAGCAAGAAACAAUAAAUUCACUGAAAAUAUUGUGAUGGGACCUGCCCUAUUGUGUCAGCCCCCUGACACAAGCUGCAGGUACUCUGCACUUGGCAACUUCUGUGGGGUCUGGAGGAUUUUUGUAUGGAAGUUCUGCCACAUGGCUGACCAGGGACUGAGGUUUUGUGUAGUAGCAGGGCGAUGCCCAGACCCUGACUGAGUGUGGUUUACUCUUAACACAUUGCAUUGCUGCAAUGGCAGUUGCUAUUAAAUUUAUCAAAGAAUUAUUAACAUUAAACCAAAAUAUCUACAUAGAAAUCACUGUCGAGUUUCUCUCAACAAAGCACCAGUGAUGGCACCAGAGGAACAGGCAGUAACUGAUGCCCGGGAAUUCCCCCUGCACAGGAGGCAGAACUUCUUCCCUGGGCACUGCCUGAGCCCUGAACAG